UACUAUUGGCUUCCAUUGAAGACGAAUAAAUCUUUCGCAUUUUACUAAAGAUUUCCGUGGAGGGGACCAUUGAAUGGGUUUAUAAUUAUUAAUCCACCAGAGCUGCUUUUUUUAUCUUU